rnacentral:rRNA from 1 species
GACGAACGCUGGCGGCGUGCUUAACACAUGCAAGUCGAGCGGUAAGGCCCUUCGGGGUACACGAGCGGCGAACGGGUUAAUUAACACGUGGGUGAUCUGCCUCGCACUUCGGGAUAAGCCUUGGAAACUGGGUUUUAAUACCGGAUAUGACCCUGCUGUCGCAUGGCGGUGGGUGGAAAGAUUUAUCGGUGCGAGAUGGGCCCGCGGCCUAUCAGCUUGUUGGUGGGGUAAUGGCCUACCAAGGCGACGACGGGUAGCCGGCCUGAGAGGGCGACCGGCCACACUGGGACUGAGACACGGCCCAGACUCCUACGGGAGGCAGCAGUGGGGAAUAUUGCACAAUGGGCGAAAGCCUGAUGCAGCGACGCCGCGUGAGGGAUGACGGCCUUCGGGUUGUAAACCUCUUUCGACAGGGACGAAGCGCAAGUGACGGUACCUGUAGAAGAAGCACCGGCCAACUACGUGCCAGCAGCCGCGGUAAUACGUAGGGUGCGAGCGUUGUCCGGAAUUACUGGGCGUAAAGAGCUUGUAGGCGGUUUGUCGCGUCGUCCGUGAAAACUUGGGGCUCAACCCCAAGCUUGCGGGCGAUACGGGCAGACUUGAGUACUGCAGGGGAGACUGGAAUUCCUGGUGUAGCGGUGAAAUGCGCAGAUAUCAGGAGGAACACCGGUGGCGAAGGCGGGUCUCUGGGCAGUAACUGACGCUGAGAAGCGAAAGCGUGGGUAGCGAACAGGAUUAGAUACCCUGGUAGUCCACGCCGUAAACGGUGGGUACUAGGUGUGGGUUUCCUUCCACGGGAUCCGUGCCGUAGCUAACGCAUUAAGUACCCCGCCUGGGGAGUACGGCCGCAAGGCUAAAACUCAAAGGAAUUGACGGGGGCCCGCACAAGCGGCGGAGCAUGUGGAUUAAUUCGAUGCAACGCGAAGAACCUUACCUGGGUUUGACAUACACCGGAAACCUGCAGAGAUGUAGGCCCCCUUGUGGUCGGUGUACAGGUGGUGCAUGGCUGUCGUCAGCUCGUGUCGUGAGAUGUUGGGUUAAGUCCCGCAACGAGCGCAACCCUUAUCUUAUGUUGCCAGCGCGUAAUGGCGGGGACUCGUGAGAGACUGCCGGGGUCAACUCGGAGGAAGGUGGGGACGACGUCAAGUCAUCAUGCCCCUUAUGUCCAGGGCUUCACACAUGCUACAAUGGCCGGUACAGAGGGCUGCGAUACCGUGAGGUGGAGCGAAUCCCUUAAAGCCGGUCUCAGUUCGGAUCGGGGUCUGCAACUCGACCCCGUGAAGUUGGAGUCGCUAGUAAUCGCAGAUCAGCAACGCUGCGGUGAAUACGUUCCCGGGCCUUGUACACACCGCCCGUCACGUCAUGAAAGUCGGUAACACCCGAAGCCGGUGGCCUAACCCCUUGUGGGAGGGAGCCGUCUAAGGU